rnacentral:sRNA from 1 species
UCCUAGCCCAGAUGGGAAUGAAAAUCCUUUUGGGUUGAACGGUAUUUUUUCUUGACUAAAAAAAGCGACUGGAAGAAGCUCUUUUUUGGUCUUAGAAAAAACGGUUUCAAGCCAAAAGAUUGUAAUGUACAGCUGGAUGAUGC